rnacentral:rRNA from 1 species
CCUACGGGGGGCUGCAGUGGGGAAUAUUGCGCAAUGGGCGAAAGCCUGACGCAGCGACGCCGCGUGAGGGAUGAAGGUCUUCGGAUCGUAAACCUCUGUUAGUAGGGAAGAACGGUCACUGUGCUAAUCAGCAGUGAAUUGACGGUACCUGCAAAGGAAGCACCGGCUAACUCCGGGCCAGCAGCCGCGGGAAUACGGAGGGUGCGAGCGUUAAUCGGAAUUACUGGGCGUAAAGGGCUCGUAGGCGGGAUGGCAAGUCAAGGGUGAAAUCCCCGCGCUCAACGUGGGAACUGCAUUUGAAACUGGCAAACUAGAGUAUGUGAGAGGUAGGUGGAAUGCCUGGUGUAGGGGUGAAAUCCGUAGAUAUCAAGAGGAACA